rnacentral:lncRNA from 1 species
GUUAAGUGCGCACAUUCCGCUUCGGCAGCCCAGGUUUGCUGGUUCGGAUCCCAGGUGCAGACAUGGCACCACUUGGCAAGCCAUGCUGUGGUCCCUGACCAAAUGACUUUGCACAUGAAACAGCAGAUCUGGUUGAAAUGAUCCAUCUCAGAAAAAAUUUGCCAACCCCUGCUCUGAACGGUACCCUACAAGCCGGGGACAGCCCUGCAGAGACUCGAAUCCUGGCAAAGCUCCUUUGGGAUCUCCCAAACACCUAGCAGCCGUCUGAGCAUCUCAAGUUGGCCCACAGACACCUGGAACUCAGCGAGGCCCGUACCUUCCCACGCUUGCUCUUUCCCGGUAUCCCCGUCAACCCCCAUCUUGCUCAAGCCAGAGUUUUGGAGUUAUUCUUGAAUCCUCUGCCGGCUCCCCUAUCCCAUUAAUCAUCUCUUUUGUAUCUUCAUUCUCCACACACCUCCUGCCACCACCCUGGCUGAAGUCAUCAGCAUUUCCUGCAGGGUGACCCGACCAGUGUCCUCAGUGGGGAUCCUGCCGCCUACUCUUCGACCCUCUAAUCCAUCCCCCACCAGGUGGCCAGGGCAGCCUUCCCAGAAUACGAAUCUGAUCUUAUCAUUUCCCACCUUCUAUCCCUUCCAUCGUAGAGAACCAGACCAUUGGUCUAUCCAUGAUCUUUUCCAGGCACGGCCCCAUCCUUCCUCUGGGCUCUUUCUGUGUGCAUAGGAUGGGAAGGUCAAUCCUAGCAUCUGGCUGAGAGCUCUUGGAGCGUCCCCACCUGGGAGGCCCCA